ACAAGGCGUUGAAGCGAAAACAUGACUGCUGAGCCCAUGAGAUAACCCUCCUCCCAUCACUUCACAAUAAUUCAUGAGCUGCAGUCCUGAUGUCCACUUCCACAAGCAAACUUCAGGUCUUUUUCAAGUGAAAGCAAGUUGAAUACAUUGGUGCAGAAGCUUCAUGAC